AACGAACGCUGGCGGCAUGCCUAACACAUGCAAGUCGAACGCUACCGCCGGGCCUUGUGGCGCUGGGGGGGGUGACGCGUGGGAAGCUACCCGUGAGUUCGGUAUCUCCCCCCGUGGGGGGUGGUCAUGCCGGGGAAGCUCUUCCUACCUAUGCUUUGUCGUCCUUGUGUGGGCCUGCGUUGGGUGUGCUAGUGGUGAGGGUAAAAGCCUACCAAGGCGAGGUUGCUUAGCUGGUCAGAGAGGAUGAGCGGCCACACUGGGACUGAGACACGGCCCAGACUCCUACGGGAGGCAGCAGUGGGGGAUAGUGGACAAUGGGCGCAAGGCGGAUCCAGCAAUGCCGCGUGAGUGAUGAAGGUCUUAGGGUUGUAAAGCAGUUUUACCCGUGGUGAUAAUGACAGUACCGGGAGAAUAAGCGCCGGCUAACUCCGUG
rnacentral:rRNA from 1 species